CUACGUGCCAGCAGCCGCGGUAAUACGGAGGAUGCGAGCGUUAUCCGGAUUUAUUGGGUUUAAAGGGUGCGUAGGCGGCCUGUUAAGUCAGCGGUGAAAUCUAGGAGCUUAACUCCUAAAUUGCCAUUGAUACUGGCGGGCUUGAGUGUAGAUGAGGUAGGCGGAAUGCGUGGUGUAGCGGUGGAAUGCAUAGAUAUCACGCAGAACUCCGAUUGCGAAGGCAGCUUACUAAGGUACAACUGACGCUGAAGCACGAAAGCGUGGGUAUCAAACAGGAUUAGAUACCCUGGUAGUCCACGCAGUAAACGAUGAUAACUGGGCGUAUGCGAUAUACAGUAUGCUCCUAAGCGAAAGCGUUAAGUUAUCCACCUGGGGAGUACGCCGGCAACGGUGAAACUCAAAGGAAUUGACGGGGGCCCGCACAAGCGGAGGAACAUGUGGUUUAAUUCGAUGAUACGCGAGGAACCUUACCCGGGAUUGAACUGCCGGUGCK
rnacentral:rRNA from 1 species